UACGUAGGGGGCAAACGUUGUCCGGAAUCAUUGGGCGUAAAGAGCGUGUAGGCGGCCAGAAAAGUCCGCUGUGAAAACUCGAGGCUCAACUUCGAGCUGUCGGUGGAAACUUUCUGGCUAGAGUCCGGAAGAGGAGAAUGGAAUUCCUGGUGUAGCGGUGAAAUGCGCAGAUAUCAGGAAGAACACCCGUGGCGAAGGCGGUUCUCUGGGACGGUACUGACGCUGAGACGCGAAAGCGUGGGGAGCGAACAGG
rnacentral:rRNA from 1 species